AUUAUGAUGAAUAGUUAAGUAGUCCAAUGGUGAAUAUAAUAGGGAAAAUAACGGUUCAAUCAUUGACAACUGAAAUCGAAAGAGGGGUGGAACAAUUUGAUAUCUGAACUCACAUCCAAAUCAGUCCCCCUUCCCCUCAUCACUCCAAUCCAGUAAAAACAUUCCCCAAUUUCUACAACCCCAUUCCCCAUUCCCAAAACCCUAAAAUCACCGAAACCAAAUCCCACACAAUGAGUUUUCGUAACGCCAGCGCAAUACUCACAAGAGCCAACAGAAUAAAAUCAAAGCUCCAAUCAUCCCUCGAAGCCACCGUUCUGGACGUAGACGACGUGUCGUAUCAGCACGCCGGUCACGCCGCAAUGAAAGACACUUCCGAUAAAGAAACUCAUUUCAACUUGAAAAUCGUUUCUCCCAAAUUCGAAGGUCAGAGUCUCGUUAAACGACACCGUAUGGUUUAUGAUCUUCUCUCCGAUGAGCUUCAAUCUGGACUUCAUGCGCUUUCCAUUGUCGCCAAGACGCCGAAUGAAGUAACGGCUUCUGCGAAAUGAUACGGUAUUGUAAUGACUAGUCAAAGUGAUUUAUUUUGGACUAGUAUUGUAUGAAGGACAUUGAAGUAUGAAAGCAUGCCAUGGAAAGACAAUUUUACCCAUAGAUAAAUGGUGUACCAAAGGGAAUUUCUAAUUUAUUGUUUAAAAUUUUAGAGUAAGUGAAUAAAUGAAAAGGAAGAGAAUAAUUGUAGUAAAUUAAGUUUCAUUUUUAGUUUGUGUUUUGCUUGAACCAA